rnacentral:rRNA from 1 species
AACGAACGCUGGCGGCAGGCUUAACACAUGCAAGUCGAACGCAUCCUUCGGGGUGAGUGGCAGACGGGUGAGUAACGCGUGGGAACGUGCCCUUCAGUUCGGGAUAACCCAGGGAAACUUGGGCUAAUACCGGAUACGUGCGAGAGCAGAAAGAUUUAUCGCUGAAGGAUCGGCCCGCGUCUGAUUAGCUAGUUGGUGGGGUAAUGGCCCACCAAGGCGACGAUCAGUAGCUGGUCUGAGAGGGUGAUCAGCCACAUUGGGACUGAGACACGGCCCAAACUCCUACGGGAGGCAGCAGUGGGGAAUAUUGGACAAUGGGCGCAAGCCUGAUCCAGCCAUGCCGCGUGAGUGAUGAAGGCCUUAGGGUUGUAAAGCUCUUUCGUCCGGGACGAUAAUGACGGUACCGGAAGAAGCCCCGGCUAACUUCGUGCCAGCCGCCGCCGUAAUAC